GUGGGGAAUAUUGGACAAUGGGCGAAAGCCUGAUCCAGCCAUGCCGCGUGUGUGAAGAAGGUCUUCGGAUUGUAAAGCACUUUAAGUUGGGAGGAAGGGCAGUAAGUUAAUACCUUGCUGUUUUGACGUUACCGACAGAAUAAGCACCGGCUAACUCUGUGCCAGCAGCCGCGGUAAUACGAAGGGUGCAAGCGUUAAUCGGAAUUACUGGGCGUAAAGCGCGCGUAGGUGGUUUUGUAAGUUGGAGGUGAAAUCCCCGGGCUCAACCUGGGAACUGCCUCCAAAACUGCAUGACUAGAGUACGGUAGAGGGUAGUGGAAUUUCCUGUGUAGCGGUGAAAUGCGUAGAUAUAGGAAGGAACACCAGUGGCGAAGGCGACUACCUGGACUGAUACUGACACUGAGGUGCGAAAGCGUGGGGAGCAAACAGGAUUAGAAACCCCGGUAGUCC
rnacentral:rRNA from 1 species